AACUUGUCAUACUCAUUCGGUAGAGCAUGAGACUAUUAAUCUCAGGGUUGUGGGUUCGAGCCCUAUGCAGGGGGUUG